GGUACCCCAGACUUCCAUGGCUUGACGGGCGGUGUGUACAAGGCCCGGGAACGUAUUCACCGCGCCAUGGCUGAUGCGCGAUUACUAGCGAUUCCAGCUUCAUAGAGUCGAGUUGCAGACUCCAAUCCGAACUGAGACCGGCUUUCGAGAUUCGCAUCCUGUCACCAGGUAGCUGCCCUCUGUACCGGCCAUUGUAUUACGUGUGUGGCCCAAGACGUAAGGGCCGUGAUGAUUUGACGUCAUCCCCACCUUCCUCUCUACUUGCGUAGGCAGUCCCAACAGAGUCCCCAACUGAAUGAUGGCAACUGUUGGCAGGGGUUGCGCUCGUUGCAGGACUUAACCUAACACCUCACGGCACGAGCUGACGACAACCAUGCAGCACCUUGAAAAUUGCCCGAAGGAGGAUCUAUUUCUAAAUCUGUCAAUUCCCAUUUAAGUCUUGGUAAGGUUCCUCGCGUAUCAUCGAAUUAAACCACAUAAUCCACCGCUUGUGCGGGCCCCCGUCAAUUCCUUUGAGUUUCAUCCUUGCGGACGUACUCCCCAGGUGGCUAACUUAUCACUUUCGCUUGGUCUCUGAACCCGAAGAUCCAAAAACGAGUUAGCAUCGUUUACGGCGUGGACUACCAGGGUAUCUAAUCCUGUUCGCUCCCCACGCUUUCGUCCAUCAGCGUCAGUUAAAUCUUAGUGACCUGCCUUCGCAAUCGGUGUUCUAAGUAAUAUCUAUGCAUUUCACCGCUACACUACUUAUUCCAGCCACUUCAAAUUUACUCAAGGCCUGCAGUAUCAAUGGCAGUUUCAUAGUUAAGCUAUGAGAUUUCACCACUGACUUACAGGCCCGCCUACGGACCCUUUAAACCCAAUAAAUCCGGAUAACGCUCGCACCCUCCGUAUUACCGCGGCUGCUGGCACGGAGUUAGCCGGUGCUUAUUCGUACAGUACCUUCAGCUGCCCUCACGAGGGCAGGUUUAUCCCUGUACAAAAGAAGUUUACAAUCCAUAGAACCGUCAUCCUUCACGCGGGAUGGCUGGAUCAGGCUUCCACCCAUUGUCCAAUAUUCCUCACUGCUGCCUCCCGUAGGAGUCUGGUCCGUGUCUCAGUACCAGUGUGGGGGAUCUCCCUCUCAGGACCCCUAAAGAUCAUCGACUUGGUGGGCCGUUACCCCGCCAACUAUCUAAUCUUGCGCGUGCCCAUCUCUAUCCGCCGAGGCUUUCAAUGGCGACCGAUGCCGGACACCAUAUUAUGGGGUAUUAAUCUUCCUUUCGAAAGGCUAUCCCCCAGAUAAAGGCAGGUUGCACACGUGUUACGCACCCGUACGCCGCUCUCUGGAUAGCAAGCUAUCCAUACCGCUCGGCUGCA
rnacentral:rRNA from 1 species